rnacentral:rRNA from 1 species
UACGGGGGGGGCAAGCGUUGUUCGGAAUUACUGGGCGUAAAGGGCUCGUAGGCGGCCAACUAAGUCGGAUGUGAAAUCCCCAGGCUCAACCUGGGAACUGCAUCCGAUACUGGAUGGCUUGAAUUCGGGAGAGGGAUGCAGAAUUCCAGGUGUAGCGGUGAAAUGCGUAGAUAUCUGGAGGAAUACCGAUGGCGAAGGCAGCCCCCUGGGAUAACACUGACGCUCAUGCACGAAAGCGUGGGGAGCAAACAGG